AAAAAUAACUCCAAAGAGACAAAAUUAGGUAGCAUAUUGUUUUUCUAUUAUAUUUGGAAAUAACUAUUUUUCGUCUUAUUUUAACAUUGAUAAUAUUAUUUAAUUUUUUUAAUAGUGAUUUUUAAUUAAACGUAAAUUAGUAAAUAAUGCAAUUUUACAUUAUAAUGAGAAUUAAAGUAUUAGUAAUUUAUUUUUGUUACUAAAAAUAAACAAGGCUAAAAUUAAAUUCAGUUUGUUCCUACAUAAAUAUUUUUAGUACUAAACUGCUUUGGAAUGAUUUUUUUGGGGGGACAGUAGCAGGAUUAGGGCCAUCUUCUAGAUGCCAUCAGGUAGGUGCGCUAGCGUAGUCGUUUGUUGUAGCAUUAUAUCCCUUUUCCCCCUUUUUAAAAAAAGUUUGUAAGACGCCUGUGAAAUUUGUAUAAGUUAGUUAUAUAAGUAGUUGAAUAAGAAUUGUUGAGGUUUGGAAAUUAGAAGAGGACAGAGAAGAUGGAAGAGGAUUGCUGUGAAAUAGAAGGAAAGGAGAUAGGAGAUGUUUGAGGAAAGGAGGAGGAUUUUGUCCGCUGUAAUGGAAGUUUUUUGAAUGAAAUUUGGAACAACUGUAUUGAGAUGUUAUUGAUAUCUUGGACAUCACGUUUCAUUUAUUUGUGUAUUAUACAAGCCUAUCUAUUGGUGAAAAUGUAAAAUGGCAGCUGGUAUAACACCUUGUAUGAAUUUAUUAUUAGGAACUCCAACGAAGUUUUGACAUAAUUUAAACUGGGAAAAGGCUCACAAAUGACUAGUUUAGGCUGCAGUAGUACCAGGACUUUAAAUUGGCUUUCACAACACAGAUAUCUUUCAAAAAUGAUAUCUGUUCGAGUGAUGUACUGGGCGUUAACAGUUGCUGUUACAAAUCUGCAAAUGAGUUACUACUGUGCAUACGUUUGAGAAAUGUCAAGAAAUGUUUUGAAUGAAACGAUAGUGAAAAACUUGUCCACAAAUGUCAAUUUCAAGAUACAAUCGAUAGUACUAAUAUUGAUUGGCCUCCAUUACCAUUAUGCUAUAAAAAUGAUAUCUGUUCGAGUGAUGUACUGGGCGUUAACAGUUGCUGUUACAAAUCUGCAAAUGAGUUAGAAGUUUGAGGAAUGUCAAGAAAUGUUUUGAAUGAAACGAUAGUGAAAAACUUGUCCACAAAUGUCAAUUUCAAGAUAUAAUCAAUAGUACUUAGAUUGAUUGGUCUCCAUUACCACUAAGCUAUAAAAAUGUCAGCUAUAUAAAUUGGUAUUAAUGGACGUUUUGACAGCUGUUGCCAGUCCAAGUUCCAGUUUUAAUGGAAAAUCUUUAAUGGACACAGAAAAAUGCCAUUUACUGAAUUGACUUCAACACCUGUUACCUUUUAAUAAUGGUAUACAACGGUACAAUUGCUGUUAGAAGUCAACAAGUAGUACUAGUUGCAGAUAAUAUAUUAUGGUGGACAUAAAGCUUUAAAUGGAAUGAAACUUACAGGAAAAAUAAAGGAAAACCAUUUUAGACUGUAUGUAUACGUAAUAGCUGUUAGAGUGUAUGCAGUCCUUCAUCAAUGUGAGCUGAACAAAUUGAUGGUAAUGGACAUUUUGACAGCUGCUGUCACAACUCAACGAACAAGUUGCAGCUUUGAAGGAAAAUUUUUGAUUGGAUACAGAAAAAUGUCGUUUCAGGAUGUAAAGUUAAUAGGACCAAGAUUGUGCUUGACAUCUGUUGCCUUUUAAUA